rnacentral:rRNA from 1 species
AGAGUUUGAUCCUGGCUCAGAACGAACGCUGGCGGCGUGCUUAACACAUGCAAGUCGAACGCGAACGAGUUUUUCGGAACUCUAGUAGAGUGGCGCACGGGUGAGUAACGCGUAAGUAAUCUACCCUGAUAUCUGGGAUAACAAUUCGAAAGGAUUGCUAAUACCGGAUACGUUGAUUUAUCAAGAAAGAUGGCCUCUUCAUGAAAGCUAUUGUAUCGGGAGGAGCUUGCGUACCAUUAGCUAGUUGGUGGGGUAAUGGCCUACCAAGGCGACGAUGGUUAGCGGGUCUGAGAGGAUGAUCCGCCACACUGGAACUGAAACACGGACCAGACUCCUACGGGAGGCAGCAGUGAGGAAUAUUGCGCAAUGGGGGAAACCCUGACGCAGCGACGCCGCGUGGAUGAUGAAGGCCUUCGGGUCGUAAAAUCCUGUCAGAUGGGAAGAAAUGGUAAUGGGCUAAUACCUCGUUACUUUGACGUACCAUCAAAGAAGCACCGCUAACU